GUUGAACAUCAACAGGCCGUACAUAUCAGAAGUAUAUCAGGAAGAUUACUUUGGAGAUCAUUGCAAUAGGUCUUUUCUCAUACUUUUCCAGUAAAAAUUUGCAGGAAAACAAUUGCUUUUAAAUAAAAAAUGCUGGCGAUAC
rnacentral:sRNA from 1 species